GCCUACGGGACGCAGCAGUAGGGAAUCUUCCACAAUGGGCGAAAGCCUGAUGGAGCAACGCCGCGUGCAGGAUGAAGGCCUUCGGGUUGUAAACUGCUUUUAUAAGCGAGAAAUAUGAUGGUAACUUAUGAAUAAGGAUCGGCUAACUACGUGCCAGCAGCCGCGGUCAUACGUAGGAUCCGAGCAUUAUCCGGAAUGAUUGGGCGUAAAGGGUGCGUAGGCGGCCUGCUAAGUCUGGAGUGAAAGGUACCGGCUCAACCGGUACAGGCUCUGGAAACUGGCGGGCUAGAGAGCAGGAGAGGGCG
rnacentral:rRNA from 1 species